rnacentral:pre_miRNA from 1 species
GUAAUACUCCCUCUGUCCGAAAAAAUUUGUCCCUCAAAUGGGUGUAUCUAGCACUAACUUGAUGCUAGAUACAUCCAUUUGAGGGACAAGUUUUUUCGGACGGAGGGAGUAUUAA